CCCUAUUAUUUUAGAAUGUUAAUUUUUGUGCCUGAGUAGUAUUAGUUAUGUUCUUGAAACUUAAAGAAUUUGGCGGUAUCUCAUUCCGUCCAGAGGAAUCUGUCCCGUUAUCGAUAGUCCGCGUUGGACCUUGCUUAUUUGAUUUGGUUUGUAUACCGCCGUUUAUUGAUUAUCUUUUUAGAGGUUUCGUUAAUUUUCUAGUUUCUUUAUUUUGAUAUAUUUCAGGUCAAGGUGCAGCUUGUUUUUAAGUGGAAUGAUGGAUUACAUUGUUAUUUGUUUGUGGAUUGUUGGUUUUAAUAUUGGCAUGAAAUUGGAUUUGGUUGUAAUGGUUUGUAGAUUGUUAUUAUGAUAGUUGGUUCUGAGAUAUGUACACAUCGCCCGUCGCUCUCGUUUACUAUAAUGAGAUAAGUC
rnacentral:rRNA from 1 species